rnacentral:rRNA from 1 species
UUUGAAGUGUGGACGCCAGUCUGCAUGGAGCCGACCUUGAAAUACCACCCUUUAAUGUUUGAUGUUCUAACGUUGACCCGUGAUCCGGGUUGCGGACAGUGUCUGGUGGGUAGUUUGACUGGGGCGGUCUCCUCCUAAAGAGUAACGGAGGAGCACGAAGGUUGGCUAAUCCUGGUCGGACAUCAGGAGGUUAGUGCAAUGGCAUAAGCCAGCUUGACUGCGAGCGUGACGGCGCGAGCAGGUGCGAAAGCAGGUCAUAGUGAUCCGGUGGUUCUGAAUGGAAGGGCCAUCGCUCAACGGAUAAAAGGUACUCCGGGGAUAACAGGCUGAUACCGCCCAAGAGUUCAUAUCGACGGCGGUGUUUGGCACCUCGAUGUCGGCUCAUCACAUCCUGGGGCUGAAGUAGGUCCCAAGGGUAUGGCUGUUCGCCAUUUAAAGUGGUACGCGAGCUGGGUUUAGAACGUCGUGAGACAGUUCGGUCCCUAUCUGCCGUGGGCGCUGGAGAACUGAGGGGGGCUGCUCCUAGUACGAGAGGACCGGAGUGGACGCAUCACUGGUGUUCGGGUUGUCAUGCCAAUGGCACUGCCCGGUAGCUAAAUGCGGAAGAGAUAAGUGCUGAAAGCAUCUAAGCACGAAACUUGCCCCG